rnacentral:rRNA from 1 species
CAGUUCGGACUGUAGUCUGCAACCCGACUACACGAAGCCGGAAUCGCUAGUAAUCGCGAAUCAGAAUGUCGCGGUGAAUACGUUCCCGGGUCUUGUACACACCGCCCGUCACACCAUGGGAGUCGGAAAUGCCCGAAGUCAGUGACCCAACCGCAAGGAGGGAGCUGCCGAAGGCAGGUCCGGUAACUGGGGUGAAGUCGUAACAAGGUAUC